rnacentral:rRNA from 1 species
AUUGAACGCUGGCGGCAGGCCUAACACAUGCAAGUCGAGCGGUAGAGAGAAGCUUGCUUCUCUUGAGAGCGGCGGACGGGUGAGUAAUGCCUAGGAAUCUGCCUGGUAGUGGGGGAUAACGUUCGGAAACGGACGCUAAUACCGCAUACGUCCUACGGGAGAAAGCAGGGGACCUUCGGGCCUUGCGCUAUCAGAUGAGCCUAGGUCGGAUUAGCUAGUUGGUGAGGUAAUGGCUCACCAAGGCGACGAUCCGUAACUGGUCUGAGAGGAUGAUCAGUCACACUGGAACUGAGACACGGUCCAGACUCCUACGGGAGGCAGCAGUGGGGAAUAUUGGACAAUGGGCGAAAGCCUGAUCCAGCCAUGCCGCGUGUGUGAAGAAGGUCUUCGGAUUGUAAAGCACUUUAAGUUGGGAGGAAGGGUUGUAGAUUAAUACUUUGCAAUUUUGACGUUACCGACAGAAUAAGCACCGGCUAACUCUGUGCCAGCAGCCGCGGUAAUACAGAGGGUGCAAGCGUUAAUCGGAAUUACUGGGCGUAAAGCGCGCGUAGGUGGUUUGUUAAGUUGGAUGUGAAAUCCCCGGGCUCAACCUGGGAACUGCAUUCAAAACUGACUGACUAGAGUAUGGUAGAGGGUGGUGGAAUUUCCUGUGUAGCGGUGAAAUGCGUAGAUAUAGGAAGGAACACCAGUGGCGAAGGCGACCACCUGGACUAAUACUGACACUGAGGUGCGAAAGCGUGGGGAGCAACCAGG